rnacentral:rRNA from 1 species
UACGUAGGGUGCAAGCGUUGUCCGGAAUUAUUGGGCGUAAAGAGCUUGUAGGCGGUUUGUCGCGUCUGCUGUGAAAUUUCGGGGCUCAACCCCGAACUUGCAGUGGGUACGGGCAGACUAGAGUGUGGUAGGGGAGACUGGAAUUCCUGGUGUAGCGGUGAAAUGCGCAGAUAUCAGGAGGAACACCGGUGGCGAAGGCGGCUCACUGGACUGGUAUUGACGCUGAGGCGCGAAAGCGUGGGGAGCAAACAGG